UCGUGACUGGAAUGGAAACCUGCUGCUCUUCCACGGGAGGCCUACACGCUGCCGCUGGGGCUGCUGCCAUGUCUCUAGUAAUCCCUAAGACGUUCCAGCACGUUUUGCGAGUACUCAACGCCGACAUCGUUGGGUGGCAGAAAACAGCCUUUGCCAUCACUGCAUUUAAGGGUGUAGGGCAAAGAUAUGCUCAUGUGGUGUUAAGGAAAGCAGGCAUCGAACUCACCAAGAGGGCAGGAGAGCUCACUGAGGGUGAGGUGGAACGUGUGAUCACUGUUAUGCAGAAUCCACGCCAGUACAGAAUCCCAGAAUGGUUCUUAAACAGAAGGACAUGAAGAAUGGGAAGUACAGCCAGGUCCUGGCUGAUGGUCUGGACAACAAGCUCCGUGAAGACCUAGAGCGGCUGAAGAAGAUUCACGCCCACAGCGGGCUGUGCCACUUCAGGGGACUUCGUGUCCAAGGCCAGCACACCAGGACCACAGGCCACUGUGGCUGCACCAUGGGUGUGUCCAAGAAGAAAUAAAUUUG